rnacentral:misc_RNA from 1 species
GAUGAAGAACGCAGCGAAAUGCGAUAAGUAAUGUGAAUUGCAGAAUUCAGUGAAUCAUCGAAUCUUUGAACGCACAUUGCGCCCGCCAGUAUUCUGGCGGGCAUGCCUGUCUGAGCGUCAUUUCAACCCUCAUGCCCCUAGGGCGUGGUGUUGGGGAUCGGCCAAAGCCCGCGAGGGACGGCCGGCCCCUAAAUCUAGUGGCGGACCCGUCGUGGCCUCCUCUGCGAAGUAGUGAUAUUCCGCAUCGGAGAGCGACGAGCCCCUGCCGUUAAACCCCCAACUUUCCAAGGUUGACCUCAGAUCAGGUAGGAAUACCCGCUGAACUUAAGCAUAUCAAUAAGCGGACGA